CGGAUGGAAUGCUUUUACUGUAGAUAUGAAGGGCUAUACAGCUGUACUUGGGAAUCUGAGCGAGCCUGGUGAACAGCAUAGACUUUGGUAAUGUGCACCACAGCCAGCCAGCCAUUCUUCCUGAGCUUCUUUUGGACCUCUUUGGGUCUCUCCUAUGCAUUCCUUACUAACCUGAAGCACACAACCUAGACCAAGCUGACCUCGAACUAACAGAGUCCACCUACCUCUUCCUCCCAAGUACUGGGAUGCAAGGCCAUGUGCCUGCCACUAAGUUUCUGGAUGUGUCAGGUGAUACAGACUCACGUGACUAAGAUGGACAGGCUCUUGUGGUGUUCUGCUGAGGCAUGAUCCGUGGGUGUGUGUGUGUGUAUUUGGAGAGGGUAUGAAAAGGACUCAAUGGACAGUGAUGGUGUGCUUGCAUAGCUAGCUUUACAAAGCUUUGUCUUUGCACAGCGGAGAACUUCUCCUGGAAUCCCGGCUGCUCCUGUAGCUCCCACUGACUCAUGCCGAUUCAGCAGCGGAGGACUGGUGGUUUCUGCUAGAUCCUGCCCUUGCCGCUGAUUCAUGUUUGCUAUCCUGAUGCUACUGAACUGGACUGCUGAUAUCCUGACAAACAGAGAUGGAGUCACCCUAAGGAACUACUUCUAAACAGCUCCACAACCCCUUGUCCUAUCUUUUCUCCCCUGCCUUUGGAUGGUGGGCUAGAAUUGAGGUCAAAGC
rnacentral:lncRNA from 1 species